rnacentral:rRNA from 1 species
ACUCCGGUGGUGUGAGAUGAGCCCGCGUCUGAUUAGCUAGUUGGCAGGGUAACGGCCUACCAAGGCGACGAUCAGUAGCCGACCUGAGAGGGUGACCGGCCACAUUGGGACUGAGACACGGCCCAAACUCCCACGGGAGGCAGCAGUGGGGAAUAUUGCACAAUGGGGGAAACCCUGAUGCAGCGACACCGCGUGAGCAAAGAAGUAUUUCGGUAUGUAAAGCUCUAUCAGCAGGGAAGAUAAUGACGGUACCUGACUAAGAAGCCCCGGCUAACUAC